rnacentral:rRNA from 1 species
AGAGUUUGAUCCUGGCUCAGGAUGAACGCUAGCGGCAGGCUUAACACAUGCAAGUCGAGGGGCAGCGCGGUAGCAAUACUGGCGGCGACCGGCAAACGGGUGCGGAACACGUACACAAUCUACCUUUGUCUGGGGCAUAGCCCGGAGAAAUCCGGAUUAACUCCCCAUAAUAUAGAUGAGUGGCAUCACUUGACUAUUAAAAAUUUAUUGGAUCGAGAUGGCUGUGCGUCCCAUUAGCUAGUUGGUAGGGUAAUGGCCUACCAAGGCGACGAUGGGUAGCUGGAUCGAGAGGUUGACCAGCCACACUGGGACUGAGAUACGGCCCAGACUCCUACGGGAGGCAGCAGUAAGGAAUCUUCCACAAUGGACGAAAGUCUGAUGGAGCAACGCCGCGUGCAGGAUGACGGUCUUCGGAUUGUAAACUGCUUUUAUAUGGGAAGAUUAUGACGGUACCAUAUGAAUAAGGACCGGCUAACUACGUGCCAGCAGCCGCGGUAAUACGUAGGGUCCAAGCGUUAUCCGGAAUCACUGGGCGUAAAGCGUGCGUAGGUGGCGUGUUAAGUGAGAUGUUAAAUCGUGUGGCUCAACCAUAUCGAUGUAUCUCAUACUGGCAUGCUAGAGGACGGCAGAGGCAAGUGGAAUUACGAGUGUAGCAGUGAAAUGCGUAGAUAUUCGUAGGAACACCAAUGGCGAAGGCAGCUUGCUGGGCCACUCCUGACACUGAGGUACGAAAGCGUGGGGAGCGAACAGGAUUAGAUACCCUGGUAGUCCACGCC